rnacentral:rRNA from 1 species
UACAGAGGUGGCAAGCGUUGUUCGGAAUUACUGGGCGUAAAGGGCGCGUAGGCGGCCUUCUAAGUCAGACGUGAAAUCCCCCGGCUUAACCUGGGAACUGCGUCUGAUACUGGGAGGCUUGAGUAUGGGAGAGGGAUGUAGAAUUCCAGGUGUAGCGGUGAAAUGCGUAGAUAUCGAGAGGAACACCUGCGGCGAAGGCGACUUUCUGGUCUGUAACUGACGCUGAGGCGCGAAAGCGUGGGGAGCAAACAGG